AGAGGUGAUCCCAGUAAUUCCAGGCUGGUGAGCCUAGCUUGAGUGCCGGGCAAGCUGCUUGAAACUAUAGUAAAGAACAGAAUUACCACACACCUAGAUGAACACAAUUUGUUGGGGGAAGAGUCAACGUGGUUUUUGUAAAGAGCAAUCAUGCCUUACCCAUCUACUAGAAUUCUUUGAGGGGGGUCAACAAGCCCGUGGACAAGGGGGAAUCCAGUGGAUAUAGUGUACUUAGAUUUCCAGAAAGUCUUUGACAAGCUCCCUCUUCGAAGGUUCUUAAGCAAAGUAAGAUGUCAUGGGACAAGAGGGAAGGUCCUCUCAUGGAUCAGCAACUGGUUAAAAGAUAGGAAACAAAGGGCAGGAAUAAAUGGUCAAUUUUCAGUCAAGAGUGGUAUCCUGCAGGGAUGUUUACUUGGACCAGUACUACUCACCAUAUUCAUAAACAAUCUGGAAAAAGGGAUAAACAGUGAGGUGGCAAAAUUUGCAGAUGAUAAAUAUCUUGAGCAGUUUUGUAAGUCCAAAGCAGACUGCGAAGAGUUACAAAGGGAUCUCCCAAAAACUGGGUGACUGGGCAACAAAAUGGCAGGUGAACUUCAUUGUUGAUAAAUGCAAAGUAAUGCGCAUGGGAAAAUAAAAUCCCAACUAUAAUAUAAAAGGAUAGGAUCUAAAUUAGCUGUUUCCGCUCAAGAAAGAUUUUUUUUUCCAAUGAAAAUUAUGAAAAAUAGAACUAAAAAUGUUUUGAAUUUUGUUGAUUCCCCAGAGUCGUAUUUGCAAAUAGAGUUCCUGUAGGAUUCAUACAAGGUUCAUGCGCUUGGCAACAUUCAGGGCACACCGGGCGUGUUGUAUAGGAGCUGUGCACAAACAGCUCCUCUCAAGGGCAUGAACCUUGGAAUCUCGCCCAGAUGACAUGAACCGUGGGAAGCCUCCCAGGACUGGCUCAAGGCCUGAGAGCAAGGAAUGUGGUAGAUAGAAAUUGGUAAAUAAGAAUGUUAAACAAAGCCAGUGUAUUCCUUUUAUCUGUUGGAGAAUGUAAUGCGUGGGGGGAGAGAAAAGAAUAAAGGAGAGGGUGGAAAGCUGACAGGCAGAAGUCCGAUGGCAGACCAGCCUGUUUGCUUGCUUAAAGCUCUGUGCUGUCUUGUAUUUGAACCGCAACAACUGGCUCCAAAACGUGGGGCCCUCAGCACUCACCACGCCCGGCAAGGUUUUCAGACGCGUCACUCAUCCGUUUCGCGGAUCCCAGUGAGUAUUUUUCAUUGUGGGUUUAAUGGGGCGAUGAUCUGUGGACUAAGAAUUAUGAAUUACUAACUCAAACGCUGGCGAAACCGGAUUGGCUGACUUCGAUGAUGACACCUGCCAUUACGCUCCCCGUGCUGCUGCCUCACAACUCUUCCACCAAUCAAAUGCUGACUGAAAAUCAUGAAUCCUACUGAAUGGGCCUCUAGCUGAUUACUGUGACAGUCCUUGAUUUUUAUGCUUUUUGACGUAACAGGGAGCGGAGGGACACUGAGCUCUGUCCCGCAGUUGCCCUGGGGGAUUGCGAGAGCUUUGCAAAAAUUAAAAUAAAUACAAACGCACA